AUCGGCCAGCCGGAUCAGCGCCCUGGAGACGGCCCGAACCAUGCUGCCCGUCGCGAGCGCGCACGC
rnacentral:tRNA from 1 species